GAGGAAAUCCUGAGAGAGCCAUCAGCCAUCCAUGGUGACAACAGAGUGUGGGGACCAACAGAGCAGUGUGUGUGGAGAACACUGUGGCUUCUACCAGGGCUGCCUGGAGAGAGAGAGGGUGAAGCUGAGGUCCAGGCAGCCAGAACUGCACAGGCUGGUGCAGGGGAGACAAGCCUCUGGGGACAAGAGGCUGGCACAGGCAUGGCCACCAACAGGGGACAGGGAGGCUGGGACAGGCUUGGCCCACCAAGAUCUUAUCUGGAGUUUGAGCCCAGAGGUGUGUGAGAACAGCAGCUCUUGUGGGAGUCAGAAUGGAGAGGCAGGAACGGCCACCACGGCGGGCGAUUGUUGAACCAAGAUUGAGGUAGAUCUGUCGUCUGAGGGCUGAGACAUCCUCGGGAAUUUCACCAAGGGCAGGACAUUACUGCUUUGGCUCUAAGUGGCCUCCCUUACCACUUGAAGCUUGGGUCCAAGAAGGAUAAGGAUCCUUCAGCAAACAUCUCUGACGCCGUCUUCUCCCAGGACGGAAUGAUAGCCAUCUUGCAUUGACAUCCCAGGAUACCCAGAGGUCAGAACACAGAGCAACCAACGCUCUGAGACCCCAGUCCAUUCCUGCAGUACAGGUAGUCCUUCCCAGCAGGCCUGGGUUCAGUUCCAGCUACUGUUCAGUCAGUGCCCUGUGCAGGCAGGCAGCAGAGAUAGCCACACCUCCCUUGGGAGGCUGGGACUCAGAAAGAGGGCUGUAGGAAGGACCCAGGGGAGUCAGAGCUCUCAGUGGGAGCCUCUAUUGCCUUCUCAGAAUACCGCCACCCACACAGACAGCUACCAGAGGGUGGCUGUGUGCAGGACCCAUACAAUGAUCUGAUGCCUGAGAGACAUCACUGUCUCUGUCUUUGCUGUGGAAGGAGAUUCUGGCUAAAGGAAGCAAUGGACCCAUCCCAUUAGCGGGUCACUCAGAGCCUAGUCUUCCGGUUCCAGGAAUGCCUGCCUUCUACCCUCCCACAGUCUCUGAGAGGUUAGCUGGCUCACUCUUCUCCGUGCUGGGGCAGCAUCCUGUCCCAAGGCCCCGAACACCCCUGGCAAACUCCAGAUAGGGGAGAGUCAAGAUCACCUACAGAUCCUCCACAGAGUGCCCCAGCUCUACAGGUGAGGCCAGGAUAGGACACAGAUCCGAGGGCACAGCAAAGGCUGGCAAUACUCAGGCGUGCACCAGGGCAUGGAACCUAGCAGCCUCUGUUGCAUAUUUAAGUGAGGCCAAAAAGAGCUGUUUGUCAUUAAACAAGCGGAUCGGGACAGCAGCGCCUCCGCAACAGCUGGGAUGGCUCAGGAAGGCGAUGCUGGCCUGGGGAUGGAUCUGCAAGAAGAGAGGCAGGAGUCCGAGGAGGACAGGCUGCACUCUGGGAGCCUGUGGUGGAGCUGGGCCUGGCCUUGGUUGCAAGCACCAGCUAGCCUCGCUGGCUCCAACCUCAGGACUUUGCAUUGAUGGUUCUUCCAGCCUGGACUGCACUUCCCACACUUGGGUCUCCCUGCGCCUCACCUUGGGCAGCCCUGGUCCAGAUGUCGCCUGCCCUCUUCAGUACUCUGUCACCAUUCCAGACUCUCCACAGUAGACACCAUUGUCUACAAAUGCUGGACUAGACACCGGAAAGAGAUCUCUAGGAGAUGCAAUGUCGGUUCCCCCCUAUCCUAACAUCCUAAGCACAUAGUAGGCUCUCACCACACUUGUGUGAUGUCUCUCCUUGUUCCAUAGCUGUGAGUCACUUCACAAGGUACUUCCGUGUGGGCAGCUUAACCUUUCCUCAUGCUCACCGAGUCCAGCUGCGUGGCCAGAUGCCCAGACACAAAUCCAGGCUCUCCCUGGCAGGAGACCCUCCAACAAACAAGAGGCCAAGGCAGAAGGAUGGCCAAUGUGAGGCUAACCUGGUCUACAGAGUAAGGCCCUAUCUCAGAAACAAUCAGUUGGAGUCUGGGGAGAUGACCUAGUGGGUAAAGCGCUCACCACACAGGCCUGAGGAUGUGAGUACAAUCUCUACAACUGACCAGGUACCAUGACAUAAUUCCAGUGCGGCCGAGGCACACCGGCCAGCCACUCAUCAGAUCCUCCAGCUCUGGGUUCGGUGAGAGACCCUGACUCAAAAACUACAGUCUGGAGCAAUAAAGACAUUCAACAUCAACCAGUAGCCUUCACAUCCCUACACACACACGCACAUGCAUGCACGCACACAUGCACACACACUUAUGUACACACACACACACACACACA
rnacentral:lncRNA from 1 species